rnacentral:rRNA from 1 species
UACAGAGGUGGCAAGCGUUGUUCGGAAUUACUGGGCGUAAAGGGCGCGUAGGCGGCCUGCUAAGUCACACGUGAAAUCCCUCGGCUCAACCGGGGAACUGCGUGUGAUACUGGCGGGCUUGAAUUCGGGAGAGGGAUGUGGAAUUCCAGGUGUAGCGGUGAAAUGCGUAGAUAUCUGGAGGAACACCGGUGGCGAAGGCGGCAUCCUGGACCGAGAUUGACACUGAGGCGCGAAAGCUAGGGGAGCAAACGGG